UUGAACCCAGAAAUUCUGGCUGUUGUAAGCUCUAUGCCCACCGGGUGCCCCACUAAGUUUGGCAUCAAUAUGGUACCUCCCUGGAAUAGGGGGCCACCAGGUUGCCCAAGGAGGGGUAAACUGGCCCAGGUCAGAAACAUGGCAGGUCAAAACUCCCAGGCGAAUCAGUGGUGGGACUGCACCUGUAAAUAGCCACUUUGCUCCAGCCUGAAUUAAAAA
ensembl:misc_RNA Metazoa_SRP Metazoan signal recognition particle RNA